UGUUUUCAGAUUUGAAUUAUGAAGCUAUUAUCCAACUUCUCUAACGAAAAUCCACCUUUCAACACCAACUUCAAUAUUUCACCUUCCAAAUUAAAAGAUCAUCACAAUAAAUAAACGAUUUUGUUGAAAAAAUAUGCUUUGAUGAUGAAAGAUUAUGCUUUGAUGAUGAACAAUUGAUGUUUUUGGCUAAAUUGUUCUAGGGUUUAAGUGAGAGAACACGAGAGGUUUUUGUUUGUGUGAAAAAAAAGGUUUGUGUGAAAAAGAAAUCUCUCUGGUCGACCUUAAUAGGUAACUUAGGGUUUUCCGCUAAAACAAUAUCAAGAUUCGUGUAGAUCAUUAAUCCAAUGGUCCUAAAUUCAUCGUCAAAUCUAACCAUACACAAAGUGACACGUGUAAACAUUUUUCCGCUAAUAUGUCUCGAGAUAUGUGACCAGAUUUAGAUAUAGGGUUAGAUUUCAUUUUGCUAACAAUACCAUUCUUUGAGUGACAUGUGUCUAAGUGUUUGUUUUUAUAAAAAAAUCACGUACCAAACACGCACGAGGGUAUUCUAGCCAUUUUAAAAAAUAUUGAUCGGUUUGACAAAGUGUCUCCGAACCCUAAUAAAGAAACAAAAAAGUUUUUUUAUCUAAUUAUCAAUUAAAAGUGGCUCCAAAUACUAAAUCACCGAUAAUGAAAAGUGGCAUUGCAUGAGAAUUUCAUGGUGGCUUCACGGGUGAAUGGGUGAUGUAACGUAGAAAUCACACUCAAGUACUGCAAACUGGCUAGCUAUAAAUAUUGCACCAAAACAUUGGCACCAUAUUAAUUCCCAUAUAUAUAUAUAUAUAUACCUCAUUUGAGAUAUUGACCUAACAACGCUGACCCCCUCAUCACUACAUUAAUGCCACUACUUCCCCCAUAUAGGACAUACUAAGAAAAUACUUUGUUUGGCUGUUGUUUUGCAUGAAAAUGGUAAGUAAGACAAGGCAAAAAGAACAUGCAAUGAAGUAGUUUUUGUACAACAGACCAUUUGCUGGCCAAGUCCUAGGACUUUGUUUCUGUUGUUUCUCUAUCAUAUCUUACACACACACAGGCCUUAAAUUAUUUUGCUUAUAGAAAUGCAGGUUUAAGUGGUCAAAGUUCUUUUUUUUUCUUUUUUUUUUUUACUACAAGGAGAGGAGGUCAAAGGUAAUGAGUUAAAUAACUAAUUAAAUAACAGGAAAAUUCAGAUUACAAUAAUUUAGGCUUUAUUCCAUCAUGCUGAUGUAAACUCAAAUAUAAAUACAGAUGCAAUAUGGUAAUGUGUGUAGGUCAGUAGUUAUCAUCAGUUCUCAAGGCAACAUGGUCAUUACAUGUUUCAGUGUUUCACCACCAUGAUAAUGGCCUACUUUGCUUUAAUCUUUCAAAAAACCUUUUGGGUCUUCUUAGCCAUGGAGAAGAAGAUGGAAAGUGCAGUGGUGGUACAAACCAGUGAUGAAGAGUACUGCGUUGCAAAAACAUGGAAAUAACACACGAAAAGGCGAUAUCUUACCUGAGCUUUAUCUCCUCCUUGGAGAUAUUUCCAUUAAGGCAUCUGAUUUUUCUUGACCUUGCAAGGCCAAAAGAUAAGUUUACUAUCUCAUGGCCGCUCUCUACACCCUUUAUCAGUCUUCAAGUACAAGGUCUUGAUGUUCAGCAUGUGGAAGUUUUACUUUUCUUUCUAUCCCUCCUGAGCUUUUAGACCUUCUUUAUCUGCAUUCAUGUGUAAUCAGCUGUGAGAUGGCAAAUACCAUGUAACUUUUGGUUUAUUUUCAACUAAGAUUUCUCUAUAUAUUGUAGAUCUAUAUUAUGUUCUCUCCAUCUCUCCUGCUUUUAAGAGUGUUUUUAGAUGAAUUACAGCUAAAUUUUGGAACUCACCGUGAUAAAAGAGUUUGAAUUUGUUCCA
rnacentral:lncRNA from 1 species